rnacentral:rRNA from 1 species
AUGCAGGUAUCAACGAAGAAGACGACGGCUGAGGUGUGGGCCAGCUUGAAGACGAGGUUCGUCGGCGCUGAUCGGGUCCAGGCGGCGCGGCUCUCCACUCUCCGUGGCGAGUUUGACAACCUGCGCAUGGAGGAGGGGGAGGCGCUGGACGCGUACGCCGGCAAAAUCGGCGGCAUGGCAGCAAGGUAUGCUGGCCUCGGCUCGACGCUCGGCGACGCCGCCAUGGUGAAAAAACUGCUCGACACGGUGCCUGAUCGGUUGUAUGCCGCGGUGGCCGGGAUCGAGCAGUUCUGCGACGUGGAGACGAUGGCGUUCGAGGAGGCGUUGAGCAGACUCAAGGCGUUUGACGAAUGCUUACGUCGGCGCACGCAGGACAACAGCGGACGAGGCGGCGAUCAGCUGAUGUUCACAGCGGCCCAGUGGGAGGCACGACAACGUCAGCGCGGCGGCGGCCUCGACCACGAUGAUGGUGCGAGCAGCGUGGCCUCGGGCACGAGACGGCGGCGCGGGAAGUGA